rnacentral:rRNA from 1 species
CGUGAGGAACCUGCCUCAAAGAGGGGGACAACAGUUGGAAACGACUGCUAAUACCGCAUAAGCCCACGGGUCGGCAUCGACCAGAGGGAAAAGGAGCAAUCCGCUUUGAGAUGGCCUCGCGUCCGAUUAGCUAGUUGAUGAGGUAACGGCCCACCAAGGCAACGAUCGGUAGCCGGACUGAGAGGUUGAACGGCCACAUUGGGACUGAGACACGGCCCAGACUCCUACGGGAGGCAGCAGUGGGGAAUAUUGCACAAUGGGGGAAACCCUGAUGCAGCGACGCCGCGUGGAGGAAGAAGGUCUUCGGAUUGUAAACUCCUGUUGUUGAGGAAGAUAAUGACGGUACUCAACAAGGAAGUGACGGCUAACUACGUGCC